AGAGUUUGAUCAUGGCUCAGGAUGAAACGCUAGCUACAGGCUUAACACAUGCAAGUCGAGGGGCUAGCAGUUUUAGUUUGCUUGCAAACUAAAGAUGGCGACCGGCGCACGGGUGAGUAACACGUAUCCAACCUGCCGAUAACUCGGGGGAUAGCCUUUCGAAAGAAAGAUUAAUAUCCGAUGGUAUAUUAAAACCGCAUGGUUUUACUAUUAAAGAAUUUCGGUUAUCGAUGGGGAUGCGUUCCAUUAGUUUGUUGGCGGGGUAACGGCCCACCAAGACUACGAUGGAUAGGGGUUCUGAGAGGAAGGUCCCCCCACAUUGGAACUGAGACACGGUCCAAACUCCUACGGGAGGCAGCA
rnacentral:rRNA from 1 species